rnacentral:lncRNA from 1 species
CCUCCUGGGUGGUCUCCUCACUCCCUCACUUGCCUCACUAUCCACUUGGUAAUGUCCACAGCCAGGUCAUGGUCACAGGCCCUGAUGUGGAGGACCAAGGAUACCAGGUCCCAGCCCUGACAGAAAACCCAGAGCUCAUGGAGGAAGAGGCCGAAGCUGCAGGGCCACCUCCGGUGCUUGGGGACGCUCCAGCUCAAAUUCCUCCACCUCCACCACCUGAGAUCAAGCUGGAGCUGGAAAGACCUGCAAUGGCAGAUCCUGGCCAAGAACUCCUGCUGGACCCUCAGGCAGCGCCUCUUACUGAGAACAACCCAGAGCCUCCAUUCUUCGACCCUUCUUUACCUUUUUUCCUUCUGUUUGUUUUACUUUUUUAUAUUCUAUGUAUACAUUGCUUGCUUUAAAAUUGAACAUUAUAUUUGUUUUUUAAAAGAUCCAGGUUAUUGGCAUUAAGUGAAUUCUCUAAACUGUGCACUAGUCACCACUAUGUAGUUCCAGAACAUUUUCCUGAAUUUGGUAUCCAUAACCACACAACCACUUUCUCCCCCACCCUCCUGCUAGUCCCCAGCAACCCCUCAGCUUUCUAGUCCUGUGAUUUGCCUAGUCUGCAUUUUUCAAACCAGUGCAGUCUCGUUUCUCCUGGGGCACAUAAUGUUGGAAGAGACUAAUAAAGUUUCUUUAGAAUGGUAAAUGCCAUACAGGUCUAUGUUUUUUUAGUUUUUAGGUUUUUUUUUUGUGUGUGUGUGUGUGUAUGCUGGGGGUUGAACCCAGGAGAACUUUACCACUGAGCUACAUCCAUAGUCAUUUU